AGUGAACGCUGGCGGUAGGCCUAACACAUGCAAGUCGAACGAGUGGCGGCCGGGUGAGGUAUACAUCGGACUCUAUUCUGUAGUGGGAGAUAUAGUAGGGAAACUUACUCUAAUACCGUAAACGCAUGAAUGAGCAGAUGUCGGAUGAGCUAGUGGGCGGGGUAAAGGCACACCAGGGCGAAGAUCCGUAGCUGGUCUGAGAGGAUGAUCAGCCACACUGGAACUGAGACACGGUCCAGACUCCUACGGGAGGCAGCAGUGGGGAAUAGUGGACAAUGGGCGCAAGCCUGAUCCAGCCAUACCGCGUGUGUGAAGAAGGCCUUCGGGUUGUAAAGCACUUUAAGUUGGGAGGCGUUACCAACAGAAGAAGCACCGGCUAACUUCGUGCCAGCAGCCGCGGUAAUUC
rnacentral:rRNA from 1 species